UGAACGCUGGCGGCAUGCCUUACACAUGCAAGUCGAACGGCAGCGCGGGGCAACCUGGCGGCGAGUGGCGAACGGGUGAGUAAUAUAUCGGAACGUACCCUGGAGUGGGGGAUAACGUAGCGAAAGUUACGCUAAUACCGCAUACGAUCUAAGGAUGAAAGUGGGGGCUUCGCAAGAACCUCAUGCUCCUGGAGCGGCCGAUAUCUGAUUAGCUAGUUGGUAGGGUAAAAGCCUACCAAGGCUUCGAUCAGUAGCUGGUCUGAGAGGACGACCAGCCACACUGGAACUGAGACACGGUCCAGACUCCUACGGGAGGCAGCAGUGGGGAAUUUUGGACAAUGGGCGCAAGCCUGAUCCAGCAAUGCCGCGUGAGUGAAGAAGGCCUUCGGGUUGUAAAGCUCUUUUGUCAGGGAAGAAACGGUGAGGGCUAAUAUCCCUUGCUAAUGACGGUACCUGAAGAAUAAGCACCGGCUAACUAC
rnacentral:rRNA from 1 species